AUGUCUAAGUAUAAGCAAAUUAUACCGUGAAACUGCGAAUGGCUCAUUAAAUCAGUUAUCGUUUAUUUGAUAGUACCUUACUACUUGGAUAACCGUGGUAAUUCUAGAGCUAAUACAUGCUGAAAACCCCGACUUCGGGAGGGGUGUAUUUAUUAGAUAAAAAACCAAUGCCCUUCGGGGCUCUUUGGUGAUUCAUGAUAACUCAACGGAUCGCAUGGCCUUGCGCCGGCGACGGUUCAUUCAAAUUUCUGCCCUAUCAACUUUCGAUGGUAAGGUAUUGGCUUACCAUGGUUUCAACGGGUAACGGGGAAUUAGGGUUCGGUUCCGGAGAGGGAGCCUGAGAAACGGCUACCACAUCCAAGGAAGGCAGCAGGCGCGCAAAUUACCCAAUCCCGACACGGGGAGGUAGUGACAAUAAAUACUGAUACAGGGCUCUUUUGGGUCUUGUAAUUGGAAUGAGUACAAUUUAAACCCCUUAACGAGGAACAAUUGGAGGGCAAGUCUGGUGCCAGCAGCCGCGGUAAUUCCAGCUCCAAUAGCGUAUAUUAAAGUUGUUGCAGUUAAAAAGCUCGUAGUUGAACCUUGGGCCUGGCUGGCCGGUCCGCCUCACCGCGUGCACUGGUCCGGCCGGGCCUUUCCUUCUGGAGAGCCCCAUGCCCUUCACUGGGUGUGCGGGGGAACCAGGACUUUUACUUUGAAAAAAUUAGAGUGUUCAAAGCAGGCCUUUGCUCGAAUACAUUAGCAUGGAAUAAUAGAAUAGGACGUGCGGUCCUAUUUUGUUGGUUUCUAGGACCGCCGUAAUGAUUAAUAGGGAUAGUCGGGGGCAUCCGUAUUCAAUUGUCAGAGGUGAAAUUCUUGGAUUUAUUGAAGACGAACUACUGCGAAAGCAUUUGCCAAGGAUGUUUUCAUUAAUCAGUGAACGAAAGUUAGGGGAUCGAAGACGAUCAGAUACCGUCGUAGUCUUAACCGUAAACUAUGCCGACUAGGGAUCGGGCGAUGUUACUAUUUUGACUCGCUCGGCACCUUACGAGAAAUCAAAGUUUUUGGGUUCUGGGGGGAGUAUGGUCGCAAGGCUGAAACUUAAAGAAAUUGACGGAAGGGCACCACCAGGC
rnacentral:rRNA from 1 species